rnacentral:rRNA from 1 species
AACGAACGCUGGCGGCAUGCCUAACACAUGCAAGUCGAACGAAGUCUUCGGACUUAGUGGCGCACGGGUGCGUAACGCGUGGGAAUCUGCCCUUGGGUACGGAAUAACUCAGAGAAAUUUGUGCUAAUACCGUAUAAUGUCUUCGGACCUAAGAUUUAUCGCCCAAGGAUGAGCCCGCGUAAGAUUAGCUAGUUGGUGGGGUAAAAGCCUACCAAGGCGACGAUCUUUAGCUGGUCUGAGAGGAUGAUCAGCCACACUGGGACUGAGACACGGCCCAGACUCCUACGGGAGGCAGCAGUGGGGAAUAUUGGACAAUGGGCGAAAGCCUGAUCCAGCAAUGCCGCGUGAGUGAUGAAGGCCCUAGGGUUGUAAAGCUCUUUUACCAGGGAUGAUAAUGACAGUACCUGGAGAAUAAGCUCCGGCUAACUCCGUG